ensembl:snRNA U6 U6 spliceosomal RNA
UGGUGCUUGCUUGGCAUUACUAAAACUAAAUUGGAAUGAUACAGAAAUUAGCAUGGCCCCAGCACAAGGAGGACACACAUCAAUAGACAAAGCUUUCCAUAAAAA